AUUGAACGCUGGCGGCAGGCCUAACACAUGCAAGUCGAACGAGUGCCGGACGGGUGAGUAAUGUCUGGGAAACUGCCCGAGGGAGGGGGAUAACUACUGGAAACGGUAGCUUAUACCGCAUACCAUCGGAUGUUCACAGACGGGAAUAGCUAGUAGGUGGGGUAACGGCUCAACUAGGCGACGAUCCCUAGAUGGUCUGAAAGGAUGACCAGCGACACGGGAACUGAGACACGGUCCAGACUCCUACGGAAGGAAGCAGUGGGGAAGAUUGCACAAUGGGCGAAAGCCUGAUGCAGCCAUGCCGGGUGUAUGAAGAAGGCGUACGGGUUGUAAAGUACUUUCAGCGAGGAGACGUUAGUCGCAGAAGAAGCAGCGGCUAACUCCGUGCCAGCAGCCGCGGUGAUUC
rnacentral:rRNA from 1 species